rnacentral:lncRNA from 1 species
AAGGGAAAGUGACUUAUCACUGGGCCCAGCACACAGGUGAUGUAAUUAUUCUGCCUGGUUUUUGUACCCAGGAGCCAUUGUAAUCUAUCUCUGGGCCCAUCAUUUAAAUGAUGUGACUAUCCUUUUCUUCCUCAGCGCUAUUCACAGGGAAAAUAGUGACACAUCUGUGGGGUUCUCACCGAAAUGAUGUGACUCUCUUGCCUGGGCUCACCUCUCAAGGGAAUUUUGACAUAUUACUGGACCAAGCACCUAGGUGAUGUGGCUCUGACAGAGGAGAAAUUGUGAUGUACCACUGUUUCCAGCACCUAAGAGAUCUGACUCUCCUCUUUUGCAUAGGCCCUGCAUUUAUUGUGUAUUGUGACAUAUGGCUUGGUCCAACACCUAGGUGGUGUGACUCUCUACUUCUUCCUGUGCCAUGCCAAAGAAGAGGAUUGUGACAUAUCACUGGAUCCAGCACCUAGGUGGAUGGUGACUCUAAGACCAGGAUUCAACACAACUAGAAGGCUUUGACUCUAAUACGAGUCACAGAAGGCUCUGCGACUCUUCUAUUUUCUCUAGGUUAUGCAAAUGGAGGUGGAUUGUGACAUAUCAUAGGGCCAACACAACACACAGUCUACAGGUGGAAUUGGGACUCUCAUGCAUGGAUCCAGUUCAUCAUUGAUACUGUGACUCAGGUGGGAUUUUGACAUAUAACUGCACCCAGCACACAGGUGAGAUUGUGACUCUUGUAUGCUCAUCCUGCCAAAAGUUGAGUGUCACCCUCACACAUGGACAGAGACUUCUGGUAAGGUCUUGAAUCUUGUACAUGGACACAGUCCACAGCUGGAAUGUCAUAUGUAGAUCCAGCCACAGGUGUGAUGUUGACCUAUUUAUAAAGUUAGCUCACAGGCACAUUGAUAACUCUCAUACCUGGAUCCAGCCAAUAAAAUAUAUGUUGACUAUUAUAGCUAGGCUUGAGUAAACUGGUAGGGUCCUGGGUCUUCUACCUGUAUGAGAGUCACAGAAGAUUAUGACACUUAUGGAAAUUACAUAAAGCCCUCUGGCAAUGCAAAGUUUUAUCACGGGGCCCCACACGCAGGUGAGAUUGUGACUUCAAUAUGCAGACAAAGCUAACAGUUAGUAUUGUUACCUUCACAUAUAAACAGAGCCCACUGGUGAGGUUCUAAAUCUCACACACCAAAAAAA